rnacentral:lncRNA from 1 species
UACUUUCAGGCGGGUAUCCUCGGGCCUGCAUCCUUCAUACAAUGGAGUAACCGCGUCUAUCUCCAGUUGAUCCAGCUUGGCUUUCUCUCGGGCGGCAGCUCUUGCGUUAUCCGUCUGCUUGAGAAGCAGCUCUUGAAUAUGAGGGUCCUGCACCCAAGCCAUCGAUGGUCCACCGUCGUCUGCUCCGGCAUCUUCAUCUUCAUGAUCAUGCCCUUCGUCUGCUUCGGCAUCUUCCUCAUCAUCAUGUCCCGCAUCUUCUACAUGAUGACUGUGUCCUGGAGAUUCUUCGUCUUCUCGCCC